AUGAGCAAUGGGGACAAUACAGUGGAACAAUUACUAUAGAUGACAAAGAAGAGGAAAUACACUUUUGGGGUCCACGUUACAGAAAUCGAGGAGUUCUGGAAUGGAACCAAAUCAGGGAUUACGUAAAAGUUCGUGGUUAUUUUAAGGUAAAUUCUUACAUUCAUCAAACUGUAUGUCGUUAUAAAAAUUUUCAUAAUAAGAAUUACUUAUACAUUUUUUAGGACGGAAUGAUGCUUAGUUUGGGGAUUGUAAAUAUCCCCGAAAUGUUUAAAAAUUUAAAGUACGGUUACGUUAUUCAACCCAAUCGAUUCGUGCAUCCCAUUGAAUCUUGUUAUUUCGACAUUACAUCCAGAGAUGAAAAAAACGUUCUGAACAAAUUGAUAUUCCGAGCCGCUGGAAAAUCCUAUGAAGUCGAUUGUAGACAGUUAAAUGAAAAUGUGGAGAUGUUUUAUGGAGAAAAUGGAGAAAUUGCAAGUAAUAUGCAUCUCGCAAAUUAUGUUUUCGAAGAAAUACAAGGCAAG
rnacentral:lncRNA from 1 species